AUCUAUCUCAGAAAUAGCAGUAAUUAAUUUUUGAGGAAAAAAUGGCGGCAGCAGCAGCAUCAGCUUCCAUGUCGGCCACCGCCGUCUUGAUUCCACGUGUUCCUGCAGCCGUUAGAACAACCCACUGUUCCGCCUUGCCGCCUGUCCCUCCUCGCGUUUCCACCGCUUCCUUUUCCUCGUCCGUUAAGCUAACUCCAGGUACUGCUGUUAACAUUCUCCCUUUUAACGCCUCACUUCACUUGCCUGCUCUUCCUUUUGUUUGAUUUUACUGAAUGAAAAUGAAAGCUUAAUGGUCAUAGAAGUUAAGAGUUCACUUCUAUAUCCUGUUCUUCCAAACACCAUAUUCGGAAUUGAGAUUGGUUUUUUCGGAAAUGAAAUCAUUGGUGGUGGGUGUAGGAUCAGAAACGUUAUAUUGGUGACAAUCACACGUGUUAAGAGUCGUUGCAGUAAACUAAUUAUGGAGGCUUUUGUCUGGAAAAAUGGGUCAAUCUUUUGGACGAUAAUAUGGGAGUUGGGACCCCAAAUUUCAAAUGGGGAUGAAUUGGUACCAAUUCAAGUAUGGGAUAGAAUGCAAGUAACAACUCUGGAUGAAUGUCGGACAUGUUCGUAUAACAUGAAUAGAUAGGUAAAACAACUAUUAAGUGGUCUAAUAUAUAGCGCUCUUCCUUUAUAAUGCCACAACAACAAAUAGUUUUAUUUGGUUGUCUCUGUCAUAGUAUAUGCAUUUGACUUUGAGCUACGUAUUCCUUGGCCUUCUAUUUACCCUGUUGUUUUUGGUACAGAAUCCCGGAGGUUUCCUUUUCUCCAAACAAAAGCAACAGAAGACACCUCUGUCGAUACCGGGGAGCUUUUUGAUGACUUGAAAGAAAAAGUGAGAAAAUGGUGGCCUGCACAUAAUCAAUUUCUUGCUCUUUUAACCUGCUGAACUGAGUGCCUGACUUGGCUUGUUUUUUCGUGGUUUUCUAGUGGGAUAAAGUUGAGAACAAGACCACGGUUCUUCUUUAUGGUGGUGGGGCAAUAGUUGCCGUUUGGCUAUCAUCUAUUCUUGUUGGCGC
rnacentral:lncRNA from 1 species